GUGGCAGCAGCCGCGGUAAUACUUAGGGUGCGAGCGUUAAUCGGAAUUACUGGGCGUAAAGCGUGCGCAGGCGGAUUGUUAAGCAAGACGUGAAAUCCCCGGGCUUAACCUGGGAAUGGCGUUUUGAACUGGCAGUCUAGAGUGCGUCAGAGGGGGGUGGAAUUCCACGUGUAGCAGUGAAAUGCGUAGAUAUGUGGAGGAACACCAAUGGCGAAGGCAGCCCCCUGGGAUGACACUGACGCUCAUGUACGAAAGCGUGGGUAGCAAACAGGAUUAGAUACCCUGGUAGUCCACGCCCUAAACGAUGUCAACUGGUUGUUGGGGGAGUGAAAUCCCUUAGUAACGAAGCUAACGCGUGAAGUUGACCGCCUGGGGAGUACGGUCGCAAGAUUAAAACUCAAAGGAAUUGACGGGGACCCGCACAAGCGGUGGAUGAUGUGGAUUAAUUCGAUGCAACGCGAAAAACCUUACCUACCCUUGACAUGUCCAGAAUCCUGCAGAGAUGCGGGAGUGCCCGAAAGGGAAUUGGAACACAGGUGCUGCAUGGCUGUCGUCAGCUCGUGUCGUGAGAUGUUGGGUUAAGUCCCGCAACGAGCGCAACCCUUAUCAUUAGUUGCUACGCAAGGGCACUCUAGUGAGACUGCCGGUGACAAACCGGAGGAAGGUGGGGAUGACGUCAAGUCCUCAUGGCCCUUAUGGGUAGGGCUUCACACGUCAUACAAUGGUCGGCACAGAGGGUUGCCAAGCCGCGAGGUGGAGCCAAUCCCAGAAAGCCGAUCGUAGUCCGGAUUGUUCUCUGCAACUCGAGAGCAUGAAGUCGGAAUCGCUAGUAAUCGCGGAUCAGCAUGUCGCGGUGAAUACGUUCCCGGGUCUUGUACACACCGCCCGUCACACCAUGGGAGUGGAAUCUGCCA
rnacentral:rRNA from 1 species